rnacentral:rRNA from 1 species
CCUACGGGUGACAGCAGUGAGGAAUAUUGGUCAAUGGACGAGAGUCUGAACCAGCCAAGUAGCGUGAAGGAUGACUGCCCUAUGGGUUAUAAACUUCUUUUAUAUGGGAAUAAAAUGUUCCACGUGUGGGAUUUUGUAUGUACCAUAUGAAUAAGGAUCGGCUAACUCCGUGCCAGCAGCCGCGGUAAUACGGAGGAUCCGAGCGUUAUCCGGAUUUAUUGGGUUUAAGGGGAGCGUAGGUGGAUUGUUAAGUCAGUUGUGAAAGUUUGCGGCUCAACCGUAAAAUUGCAGUUGAAACUGGCAGGCUUGAGUACAGUAGAGGUAGGCGGAAUUCGUGGUGUAGCGGUGAAAUGCUUAGAUAUCACGAAGAACUCCGAUUGCGAAGGCAGCUCACUGGACUGCAACUGACACUGAGGCUCGAAAGUGUGGGUAUCAAACAGGAUUAGAUACCCUAGUAGUC